rnacentral:rRNA from 1 species
CUAAGAAUAUUCCGCAAUGGACGGAAGUCUGACGGAGCGACGCCGCGUGGAUGACGAAGGCCGAAAGGUUGUAAAGUUCUUUUGCUGGGGAAGAAUAACCGCAGGAGGGAAUGCCUGUGGGAUGACAAGAACCGGCGAAUAAGCCCCGGCCAACUACGUGCCAGCAGCCGCGGUAACACGUAGGGGGGCGAGCGUUGUUCGGAAUUACUGGGCGUAAAGGGCAUGUAGGCGGCUUGGAAAGCCUGGCGUGAAAGUCUGCAGCUUAACUGCAGGGGUGCGCUGGGAACUGCUGAGCUUGAGUGACGGAGAGGGAGCUGGAAUUCCUGGUGUAGGGGUGAAAUCUGUAGAUAUCAGGAAGAACACCGAUGGCGAAGGCAAGCUCCUGGCCGAUGACUGACGCUGAGGUGCGAAAGUGUGGGGAUCAAACAGGAUUAGAUACCCUGGUAGUCCACACAGUCAACGAUGUGCACUAGGUGCUGGGGCGGUAGCUUCGGUGCCGGAGCGAACGUGGUAAGUGCACCGCCUGGGGAGUAUGCUCGCAAGGGUGAAACUUAAAUGAAUUGACGGGGUCAUAGCUGUUUCCU